AUUGAACGCUGGCGGCAUGCUUUACACAUGCAAGUCGAACGGUAACAGGCCGCAAGGUGCUGACGAGUGGCGAACGGGUGAGUAAUGCAUCGGAACGUGCCCAGUCGUGGGGGAUAACUACUCGAAAGAGUAGCUAAUACCGCAUACGAUCUAUGGAUGAAAGCGGGGGACCGUAAGGCCUCGCGCGAUUGGAGCGGCCGAUGUCAGAUUAGGUAGUUGGUGGGGUAAAGGCUCACCAAGCCAACGAUCUGUAGCUGGUCUGAGAGGACGACCAGCCACACGGGGACUGGGAAACGGCCCAGACUCCUACGGGAGGCAGCAGGGGGGAAUUUUGGAAAAGGGGGGAAAGCCUGAUCCAGAAAGGCCGCGGGCAGGAAGAAGGCCUUCGGGUUGUAAACUUCUUUUGUAGGGAACAAAAGGGCUCUGGUUAAACCCCGGGGUUAAGGACGGGACCGAAAAAAAAAGCCCGGGCAAACUACGG
rnacentral:rRNA from 1 species